GUGUCAUAAAUUCUUACCGAUUUUUCACUUCUUUAUUUUGUAACCUAUAGACAUAUUUGUUAAUUGUAAAGUACCUCACUUUUACAGCACAUUAUCAUAGCCAGUUUGGUAGUAUAUUUGGUGAAAGGUGAGAACCCAAAGUGGUGAUUUUUAAGGUAUAAUUUUGGUUAGUGUCGUCUGGUCAUCGUUGAAAUGGGACCGGGACGACAGUGUAGUGAAAAUGUGUGUAUGCGCAAAAGCAGCACUGCGCAGUACGCUAGUGCAGGUGAAUUUUAUACAUUGUAACAAGAUGACUUGGCCUGAAGCUGCUCUGGUACUACAUGUAUAUAGUUCAGUGGUUUAUUGUCUCUUAAUAACUAUUUUGGUUAGGGUUAUGUUUGGUAAAAUGAUAAUGCAUUACAUUACAGUAUCCUAGGCUGAGGACUUCAUGGUGCUGAGGGGGUGGAUUUGUAUAUGUGUGUGUGUGUCUGCGUCAGCCAGCGGCCGGGGUUGACUGUAAGUGCGGGUGCAUGGGUGUGUGUGUUCUGCCCCUGAUGUGCCAUGUCGCCCCAUGCCUUGUUUAUUAUGGAGAUGGGAACAAUUUAUUACUGAAUCACACGCAACUCGAUGUACCAAACUUCUCGAGUCAAUACUUCUAAUCCCUAAACUUUGCAUGAUAUUAUAAGCUUUGUCUUGCCUAGAAUGUAACUUCAAUUAUUGUACACUGGAUACUAGUUUUUUACAGGCGACCCUCUGGGCCCUGACAGAAUUAAACUGGUUGACAGGAAGACCAGAAGUGUCAUGGUGCCAUCCCAUCUAGUCUGCCCAGAACCUGCGUGCCUCACCCCCCUCCCCCUAGUGUGUUGAUCUACCGACUGGACCCCACUGCUUCCCCCCGACCGCCCACUCUACAAGAGUUUGACUUUAAAACAAUUCAUUUCAUUUCGGAAAAGUGUCUUAUGUUUAUUGAGUCGCUUGUAAAUGUGAACAAAAUGGUGCGGAAUUGCCAAAUAUGUAACAAAGUUGAAUAUUCUUGUAAUCCUUUUAAGUGCUGUGACUACAGUCUGCUCUCAUGAAGAUGCAUUUUCCUGCCCUGAAGGAACGUAUUUGUACAUGUCUGUGAGUCAUGACGAAUGAUGAAUGACCAAUCUUAGCUUGUCUCAGCAACUUGAAGCAGCAGUUUCAGGCAAUUUUGUUUACAGGAUGGACUGAAUGAAGCCUAGGAAAGAUGGAUUCCAACUGGCUUUAACCCUAAGAGAGCUUAACCCUAAUGGAGGCCAACCCUAACAAAUGCUAACCCUAACUGAGGCCAAUCCUAAUUGCGGGGGGGGGGGGGUCAAUCUUGGACGGUCACGGACAGCCUGUGCACACCAAGCCGUGGAAAUGCACAGUGCUGUGUUUAAAGUGGUUUGCUUUCAUGGAGAUGCAAGCACCUGGCUGAAGUGAGCAUGGGUGAGCCACAGUGGUUGAUUAGUGACCAAUCCUAGCUCUUGUCUCAGCAACAUCAACCAGCAGGUGGACUUGAGCUUCUAACCAUCCAGGCUUGAGUGAUCAAUCAGUAGCUCUAGGCUCACAAACAUCAACCAGUAGCGCUGUGUUUAAAGUGGUUUGCUUUCGUGGAGAUGCAAGCAACUGGCUGAAAUGAGCAUGGAUCAGCCACAGUGGAUGAUAAGUGACCAAUCCUAGCUCUAGUCUCGGCAACAUCAACCAGCUGGUGCGGAAAUGCCUCCACGUGCCAAUACAUUGAAGCCAAUUUCCAACUUGUGGAGCGUCAAAGAAAGAUGAUUGACAUUUCCCCCCUAACCGCUCCUUUAUCAGUGUUGGGUUUACUUUGGUCGACCUUCAUGGAGAUGCCAUUGACUGGCUAAAGG
rnacentral:lncRNA from 1 species